AAGGUCGUAACCAAGGUCUCCGUUGGUGAACCAGCGGAGGGGAUCAUUUGCUGGAACAAAGCGCCCUCACGGGUGCUACCCAGAAAUCCCUUUGUGAAUCAUCCUAAAAAGCUGUUGCCUCGGCUUUAGGUUGGCUUCCUCGGAAGGUCCCUUCGCAAGAAGGAGCAGACCGGCCGGUGGCCCGAUCAACUCUUGUUUUUGGUAACAUCAUCUGAGUAAAAAAUCAACUAAUGAAUCAAAAG
rnacentral:misc_RNA from 1 species